UGGGGAAUAUUGCACAAUGGGGGAAACCCUGAUGCAGCGACGCCGCGUGGAGGAAGAAGGUCUUCGGAUUGUAAACUCCUGUUGUUGGGGAAGAUAAUGACGGUACCCAACAAGGAAGUGACGGCUAACUACGUGCCAGCAGCCGCGGUAAAACGUAGGUCACAAGCGUUGUCCGGAAUUACUGGGUGUAAAGGGAGCGCAGGCGGGAAGACAAGUUGGAAGUGAAAUCUAUGGGCUCAACCCAUAAACUGCUUUCAAAACUGUUUUUCUUGAGUAGUGCAGAGGUAGGCGGAAUUCCCGGUGUAGCGGUGGAAUGCGUAGAUAUCGGGAGGAACACCAGUGGCGAAGGCGGCCUACUGGGCACCAACUGACGCUGAGGCUCGAAAGUGUGGGUAGCAAACAGGAUUAGAUACCCUGGUAGUCCACACCGUAAACGAUGAUUACUAGGUGUUGGAGGAUUGACCCCUUCAGUGCCGCAGUUAACACAAUAAGUAAUCCACCUGGGGAGUACGACCGCAAGGUUGAAACUCAAAGGAAUUGACGGGGGCCCGCACAAGCAGUGGAGUAUGUGGUUUAAUUCGACGCAACGCGAAGAACCUUACCAAGUCUUGACAUCCCUUGACAGGCAUAGAAAUAUGUUUUCUCUUCGGAGCAAGGAGACAGGUGGUGCAUGGUUGUCGUCAGCUCGUGUCGUGAGAUGUUGGGUUAAGUCCCGCAACGAGCGCAACCCUUAUGGUCAGUUACUACGCAAGAGGACUCUGGCCAGACUGCCGUUGACAAAACGGAGGAAGGUGGGGAUGACGUCAAAUCAUCAUGCCCUUUAUGACUUGGGCUACACACGUACUACAAUGGCGUUAAACAAAGAGAAGCAAGACCGCGAGGUGGAGCAAAACUCAGAAACAACGUCCCAGUUCGGACUGCAGGCUGCAACUCGCCUGCACGAAGUCGGAAUUGCUAGUAAUCGCAGAUCAGCAUGCCACGGUGAAUACGUUCCC
rnacentral:rRNA from 1 species